GUUAAAAAGCUCGUAGUUGGAUCUCGGCGGACUGAGGGCGGUUUGCUUGCUAGUAUUACUGCCCUAUAGUCCGUAGUUUUGCCAGAGGUUUCGAGGUGCUCUUAAUCGAGUGUCCCGGGAUGCUGGCAGGUUUACUUUGAAAAAAUUAGAGUGCUCAAAGCAGGCUAUUACGCCUGAAUAUUCGUGCAUGGAAUAAUAGAAUAGGAAGUCGUUUCUAUUUUGUUGGUUUUCGGAAAUCGACUUAAUGAUUAAUAGGGACAGUCGGGGGCAUUUGUAUUCAAACGACAGAGGUGAAAUUCUUGGACCGUUUGAAGACAAACUACUGCGAAAGCAUUUGCCAAGAAUGUUUUCAUUAAUCAAGAACGAAAGUUAAAGGUUCGAAGGCGAUUAGAUACCGCCCUAGUUUUAACCAUAAACGAUGCCAGCUAGCGAUCUGCGGACGUUUUUUUUGUAGACUCCGCAGGAAGCUUCCGGGAAACCAAAGCAUUUGGGUUCCAGGGGAAGUAUGGUUGCAAAGCUGAAACUUAAAGGAAUUGACGGAAGGGCACCACCAGGAGUGGAGCCUGUGGCUUAAUUUGACUCAACACGGGAAAUCUCACCAGGCCCGGACACUGGAAGGAUUGACAGAUUGAUAGCUCUUCCUUGAUCCGGUGGUGGGUGGUGCAUGGCCGUUCUUAAUUGGUGGAGUGAUUGGCUGGUUAAUCCGAUACGAACGAAAC
rnacentral:rRNA from 1 species